UAGAGUUUGAUCAUGGCUCAGGAUAAGUCGUAACAAGGUAACCGUAGAGUUUGAUCCUGGCUCAGGUGAAGUCGUAACAAGGUAGCCGUAAAGUUUGAUCAUGGCUCAGGAAAGUCGUAACAAGGUAGCCGUAAGUCGUAACAAGGUAACCGUAGAGUUUGAUCAUGGCUCAGGAAAGUCGUAACAAGGUAGCCGUAAGUCGUAACAAGGGAGAGUUUGAUCAUGGCUCAGGAUAAGUCGUAACAAGGUAACCGUAAGUCGUAACAAGGUAGCCGUAAGUCGUAAUAAGGUAACCGUAA
rnacentral:rRNA from 1 species